GACACAGGUGGUGCAUGGUUGUCGUCAGCUCGUGUCGUGAGAUGUUGGGUUAAGUCCCGCAACGAGCGCAACCCUCAUUCCUGGUUGCCAGCAGUAAGAUGGGGACUCCGGGGAGACUGCCGAGGAAGACUUGGAGGAAGGUGGGGAUGACGUCAAAUCAUCAUGCCCCUUAUGGUUUGGGCUACACACGUGCUACAAUGGCGCUG
rnacentral:rRNA from 1 species